CGCAAGCCUGACGGAGCAAUACCGCGUGAGGGAUGAAGGUUCGUGGAUUGUAAACCUCUUUUUUCAGGGAAGAUAAUGACGGUACCUGAAGAAUAAGCAUCGGCUAACUCCGUGCCAGCAGCCGCGGUAAGACGGAGGAUGCAAGCGUUAUCCGGAAUUAUUGGGCGUAAAGCGUACGCAGGUGGCACAUCAAGUCUGUUGUUAAAGCGCGGAGCUCAACUCCGUAAAGGCGAUAGAAACUGGUGAGCUAGAGUAUGGUAGGGGCAGGAGGAAUUCCCAGUGUAGCGGUGAAAUGCGUAGAUAUUGGGAAGAACACCAGUGGCGAAAGCGUCCUGCCAAGCCAAAACUGACACUCAUGUACGAAAGCUAG
rnacentral:rRNA from 1 species